GGUGCCAUAGCCAAGCGGUAAGGCAAAGGUCUGCAAAACCUUCAUUCCCCAGUUCAAAUCUGGGUGGCACCUCCA
rnacentral:tRNA from 1 species